UGUUAGCUUGGAAUAAAAUAUUAAAACUGGAACAACAACAACAGAAGAUUAGCAUUGUCUGUAUACAAAGAUGAUAUGCAAAUUUGUGUAGAGGUCCAUAUUUUA